GAGGGUAUAGCUUAGUGGUAGAGUGCAUGUUUAGCAUGCACAAGGUCUUAGGUUCAAUCCCCAGUACUUGCA
rnacentral:tRNA from 1 species